rnacentral:lncRNA from 1 species
UAUAUAAAAUAAAAAAUAAUAAAGGAUACUUGACAGAGGUGCAAAGCGAACAACAUCUCCCAAAAUAUAAUGCUAUAAAUUAUAGGAAUUGGUAUUGACACUCUAAAAAUCGUAUUUUAUACUUCAAAUUUUCUAUAAUUAGAAUGAAAAAUACACUUGUAAGGAGUAUAUAAUAAGAUUUGUGAAUUGCUAAUAAUAACUCCCUAAAUUAUUUGUUGACGCAAAUACUAUAAAUGGAUGCGAAUAGAGUCCAAAUAUAUUAGAAAGAGUGCUUUCAAUGGAAGGACUAUCGUCUUAGAUGCUUUUGCUUUAUGUUGCCGAUGGCCCAUGAUUUUGAGAAGAAAAAAAAAAACAUAUUCUUUUCUCAUUUUCAAACCUAAUUUUAGCCACAGCUUUCUUUAUAAAAUGAUUUUGAAAAAAAAUCACCUCCACUGGACUUGCAAUAAAGGAAAUAAAUUUACUUUACUUUUGUUUUUGUUUUUGUUCUUUUUUUUUUUUUUUGGUAGAACAAUACUUAAGGAUAGUGAAGUGAAAUAACACUUUUGAUAAGAUUCCUUAAAAAGAAGGCUAAUGCUAGGAGACUAAAUUUAUAGACAAAAUUUGCAAACUAAAUGAUGUGUCACCAAUAUGAAUGAGCACAUUUAUUAACGCUUGAGUAAUAAUUCAAUCAUUAACUUUCAUGUAAUUUAAUUUAUAAAAUUUUAUCUAUAAAUUUAGUUUGCCUAG